rnacentral:rRNA from 1 species
AGUGAACGCUGGCGGUAGGCCUAACACAUGCAAGUCGAACGGCAGCACAGUAAGAGCUUGCUCUUACGGGUGGCGAGUGGCGGACGGGUGAGGAAUACAUCGGAAUCUACUUUUUCGUGGGGGAUAACGUAGGGAAACUUACGCUAAUACCUCAUACGACCUACGGGUGAAAGCAGGGGAUCUUCGGACCUUGCGCGAUUGAAUGAGACGAUGUCGGAUUAGCUAGUUGGCUGGGUAAAGGCCCACCAAGGCGACGAUCCGUAGCUGGUCUGAGAGGAUGAUCAGCCACACUGGGACUGAGACACGGUCCAGACUCCUACGGGAGGCAGCAGUGGGGAAUAUUGGACAAUGGGCGCAAGCCUGAUCCAGCCAUACCGCGUGGGUGAAGAAGGCCUUCGGGUUGUAAAGCCCUUUUGUUGGGAAAGAAAAGCAGCAGGUUAAUACCCCGCUGUUCUGACGGUACCCAAAGAAUAAGCACCGGCUAACUUCGUG